rnacentral:rRNA from 1 species
CGUUAUAACCGGCGAUUUCCGAAUGGGGAAACCCAGUGUGAUUCGUCACACUAUCAUUAACUGAAUCCAUAGGUUAAUGAGGCGAACCGGGGGAACUGAAACAUCUAAGUACCCCGAGGAAAAGAAAUCAACCGAGAUUCCCCCAGUAGCGGCGAGCGAACGGGGAGCAGCCCAGAGCCUGAAUCAGUGUGUGUGUUAGUGGAAGCGUCUGGAAAGGCGCGCGAUACAGGGUGACAGCCCCGUACACAAAAAUGCACAUGCUGUGAGCUCGAUGAGUAGGGCGGGACACGUGGUAUCCUGUCUGAAUAUGGGGGGACCAUCCUCCAAGGCUAAAUACUCCUGACUGACCGAUAGUGAACCAGUACCGUGAGGGAAAGGCGAAAAGAACCCCGGCGAGGGGAGUGAAAAAGAACCUGAAACCGUGUACGUACAAGCAGUGGGAGCACGCUUAGGCGUGUGACUGCGUACCUUUUGUAUAAUGGGUCAGCGACUUAUAUUCUGUAGCAAGGUUAACCGAAUAGGGGAGCCGAAGGGAAACCGAGUCUUAACUGGGCGUUAAGUUGCAGGGUAUAGACCCGAAACCCGGUGAUCUAGCCAUGGGCAGGUUGAAGGUUGGGUAACACUAACUGGAGGACCGAACCGACUAAUGUUGAAAAAUUAGCGGAUGACUUGUGGCUGGGGGUGAAAGGCCAAUCAAACCGGGAGAUAGCUGGUUCUCCCCGAAAGCUAUUUAGGUAGCGCCUCGUGAAUUCAUCUCCGGGGGUAGAGCACUGUUUCGGCAAGGGGGUCAUCCCGACUUACCAACCCGAUGCAAACUGCGAAUACCGGAGAAUGUUAUCACGGGAGACACACGGCGGGUGCUAACGUCCGUCGUGAAGAGGGAAACAACCCAGACCGCCAGCUAAGGUCCCAAAGUCAUGGUUAAGUGGGAAACGAUGUGGGAAGGCCCAGACAGCCAGGAUGUUGGCUUAGAAGCAGCCAUCAUUUAAAGAAAGCGUAAUAGCUCACUGGUCGAGUCGGCCUGCGCGGAAGAUGUAACGGGGCUAAACCAUGCACCGAAGCUGCGGCAGCGACACUAUGUGUUGUUGGGUAGGGGAGCGUUCUGUAAGCCUGUGAAGGUGUACUGUGAGGUAUGCUGGAGGUAUCAGAAGUGCGAAUGCUGACAUAAGUAACGAUAAAGCGGGUGAAAAGCCCGCUCGCCGGAAGACCAAGGGUUCCUGUCCAACGUUAAUCGGGGCAGGGUGAGUCGACCCCUAAGGCGAGGCCGAAAGGCGUAGUCGAUGGGAAACAGGUUAAUAUUCCUGUACUUGGUGUUACUGCGAAGGGGGGACGGAGAAGGCUAUGUUGGCCGGGCGACGGUUGUCCCGGUUUAAGCGUGUAGGCUGGUUUUCCAGGCAAAUCCGGAAAAUCAAGGCUGAGGCGUGAUGACGAGGCACUACGGUGCUGAAGCAACAAAUGCCCUGCUUCCAGGAAAAGCCUCUAAGCAUCAGGUAACAUCAAAUCGUACCCCAAACCGACACAGGUGGUCAGGUAGAGAAUACCAAGGCGCUUGAGAGAACUCGGGUGAAGGAACUAGGCAAAAUGGUGCCGUAACUUCGGGAGAAGGCACGCUGAUAUGUAGGUGAAGUCCCUCGCGGAUGGAGCUGAAAUCAGUCGAAGAUACCAGCUGGCUGCAACUGUUUAUUAAAAACACAGCACUGUGCAAACACGAAAGUGGACGUAUACGGUGUGACGCCUGCCCGGUGCCGGAAGGUUAAUUGAUGGGGUCAGCGCAAGCGAAGCUCUUGAUCGAAGCCCCGGUAAACGGCGGCCGUAACUAUAACGGUCCUAAGGUAGCGAAAUUCCUUGUCGGGUAAGUUCCGACCUGCACGAAUGGCGUAAUGAUGGCCAGGCUGUCUCCACCCGAGACUCAGUGAAAUUGAACUCGCUGUGAAGAUGCAGUGUACCCGCGGCAAGACGGAAAGACCCCGUGAACCUUUACUAUAGCUUGACACUGAACAUUGAGCCUUGAUGUGUAGGAUAGGUGGGAGGCUUUGAAGUGUGGACGCCAGUCUGCAUGGAGCCGACCUUGAAAUACCACCCUUUAAUGUUUGAUGUUCUAACGUGGACCCGUAAUCCGGGUUGCGGACAGUGUCUGGUGGGUAGUUUGACUGGGGCGGUCUCCUCCUAAAGAGUAACGGAGGAGCACGAAGGUUGGCUAAUCCUGGUCGGACAUCAGGAGGUUAGUGCAAUGGCAUAAGCCAGCUUGACUGCGAGCGUGACGGCGCGAGCAGGUGCGAAAGCAGGUCAUAGUGAUCCGGUGGUUCUGAAUGGAAGGGCCAUCGCUCAACGGAUAAAAGGUACUCCGGGGAUAACAGGCUGAUACCGCCCAAGAGUUCAUAUCGACGGCGGUGUUUGGCACCUCGAUGUCGGCUCAUCACAUCCUGGGGCUGAAGUAGGUCCCAAGGGUAUGGCUGUUCGCCAUUUAAAGUGGUACGCGAGCUGGGUUUAGAACGUCGUGAGACAGUUCGGUCCCUAUCUGCCGUGGGCGCUGGAGAACUGAGGGGGGCUGCUCCUAGUACGAGAGGACCGGAGUGGACGCAUCACUGGUGUUCGGGUUGUCAUGCCAAUGGCACUGCCCGGUAGCUAAAUGCGGAAGAGAUAAGUGCUGAAAGCAUCUAAGCACGAAACUUGCCCCGAGAUGAGUUCUCCCUGACUCCUUGAGAGUCCUGAAGGAACGUUGAAGACGACGACGUUGAUAGGCCGGGUGUGUAAGCGCAGCGAUGCGUUGAGCUAACCGGUACUAAUGAACCGUGAGGCUUAACCUU